rnacentral:lncRNA from 1 species
GUGCAGUGCAUAGGUGUUUAUGAUUUGGAAAAAGAUUUGACGCGCAAUUUCAAAAUCAACCGUCUGUCUACGGUGAAAAAAGAUAAAGAAAUGACAAAGUUAUGAGGGUUUAAAGGAAAGUUAGUGAGCGAUUUUUAUUCAACACUACAUUGCUUUAAACAAAGAUUUUCGCUUCACCUGGCAAUUUCUGCUUAUGAGAAUUGGCAGGUAAUAAUCAUAGAAAAUUUACGAAUAUGCAAAGUACUUUAGUUACGGUGACCGGUAACGACCGGAAGGAAUAGUUGCAAUUGAAACAUAGAGAAAUUUAUCGGGAACAACGUAAAAGUG